GACUGAACUUGGAUUAGUGGAGGUGAAGCCUGAGCCAGCAGUUCUCCAAACUGCCUGGACGCACUUCUCUGCCUGAAAAAUAGAUAACCUCAUUGCACGUACUGCGAAAAGACAGCUAGACACCGUACCGUUCUGUACACUUGCACUGCGUUUGCAAGGAUCUGACCAAGGAAAAAAUGGUUUCUUCUGCAGCUAGCCAAAACAGGGGCUUCUUGGAGAGAGCAACAGCAUGCACACACUGCCUGCAAGCCCCCUGGCAUCCUUCUGCUGUGCUUAUGGAGCACCUGGAGCAAGCAGGCACUGACUGCAUCGCUCGUGGGGGCUACCACUGCUCAGAUAACAACCGAGGGCGUGAAGAAAUGUGGCAGGAGGAGCAGUGCAUUCAUAACGCAGCAACAAAGACUGGAGCACUGCUCAGACAGGUAGCAGAGCUCCUUCAUUAGUGGUCACUGUUAACCCCAUCCAGUCAGUGCUGAGCAAAAUGAGGACUCUGCAAACUGCAGGUAAUAUUUCCUGCUGGCUCAGCUAUAGUCAUUUAUGCAGCUUUUAGGGCGGUUUGGUGUUUUUUUCUUUCUUUUUCUGUUCCUUGCUUUUGGUGAGAUGCUAAUAAUUCGUGCAAACUCC
rnacentral:lncRNA from 1 species